rnacentral:tRNA from 1 species
AGUAUUGCGCCGGAUGAACGGGAAUCAUUGAUGUUGAUUAUAAUAAGAAAACUAUUCUUCUUCGGUACUA